rnacentral:rRNA from 10 species
GCCCCGAAAACCUAAGGCUUCCUCCACUAGGCUCGUCCAUGGGGGGUUAGUCGGGACCUAAGGCCAGGCCGAAAGGCGUAGUCGAUGGAAAACAGGUUAAUAUUCCUGUACUGUUUUUGAAGUGGUACCGAGGGACGAAGGAGGUAACAGUUGGCCGAUAUUGGAUGUUGGCGGAAACGUUCAAGGUGAUGAGAGAUAGAAGAAAAACUAUUCUUGAGCUGAGGCGUGAUAC